UCUGCUGAUCACGGAUCAUGAAUUCCCGAGGGCACAGAAAUGUUUUCAUAGUCACCAGUGGCAGGGACAUGAUUCGGGGUGGAAGAGGCUAUAGGCUAUAAUGUUGAGUCUUAAGGGACUGGAAGCCAAGAGAUGAGGAUGAUGUGCAAUUCUGAGGCUUCUCGCUGCGAGGAACAGAAACCAAGCUGAAGAGCAUAGUACGACUGACCCCAGUGGACUCAAGACACGCAGCGGCAGUGAGGCUGGGAGUUGAGGCCAAGUUAUUCAGGGCAUGUGUGGGUCUCUCUGCUGGGGAGAAGCCCCUCUGGAGCUUCCUUGUGGCCUUACUGAUGGAACUGACAGCGCUGAGGCUAGCUUUUUAGGAAAUUCAUGUGACCCUUACACACGUGGACUUCUGAUUGAACAGCCUCAAGUUAAGGCUUUCCCUGCUGGGAAGAAGAGUAGAAAACAAUGAGAUAACAUUGGGAAUGGAUCCAGUUCAGAGUAAAUAAUACAAAAAAUGCAUUUUCAUUUCAGUUCAACACAAAGUUAAAAACAUCAAAUUAAAAAAGAAGAUGGCAAAAAGAUAGCUUUGCAUUAUAUUACUUCCAAAUUAAUGAAAAAGACUAUAUCAAAUAUUUGCUUUCAUAAAUUAAGUAUUUAGAAUUAAGGAAAAACAUAUGCCAUCAUUUGGGCAUGCUAUUAUCAAGUGAAAAGCAUUUUCUUUGAAGAGGUUCAGGUCAUUCCCUUACAUAUCUGAGUAUGUUAAUAUAUCAUAAGGCUUCAUAUUUUGGGAUAAUAGUUUUUAGCAGCCUAUGUUGAAUUUAGGCUAAUUAUCCUUGUAUUUGCUUAAAAAGGAAUCAAAUCCAUGGUACCAGUGGAUUUGGAAUAUGUUUUGAAGACCAGUAAAUUGAUCAGUUUGAACCAACUUGGAAGAAAGAAAGAGAUUGUGAGGCCAAAACAAGGUUGUGGGGAUGGUGGCAGUCAUGAAUGGUUUAUGAAUUAUAAUAGGAAUCUCUGCUAGGAGGGCAGUAACUGCUAGAAAGUGGAAAGAUGGAAUCUAGAAUGAUUAUAAAGAAAAUAUUUUUAGAUAAAAAGAACAGAAAUGAGGCACUUGAAGAAAGCUAAGAGUCCUGGGUUAAAAUGAGAAUAAAUAAAGAACUAAACUAGA